AAUACCCAAUCCUGACACAGGGAGGUAGUGACAAGAAAUAACAAUACGGGGCUUGAAGUCUUGUAAUUGGAAUGAUGGGAAUUUAAACCCCUUCCAGAGUAUCAAUUGGAGGGCAAGUCUGGUGCCAGCAGCCGCGGUAAUUCCAGCUCCAAUAGCGUAUAUUAAACUUGUUGCAGUUAAAAAGCUCGUAGUUGAAUUUCUGCUGUUUCGUUGACUGCGUUUGGCGUUUGUCAUCGUUGCGGCUUGGUUGGGUUUCGAUUAUUCGUUUCCCGGCGUUUACUUUGUGAAAAUUAGAGUGCUUGAAGCAGGCUUUUGCCUUGAAUACUUUAGCAUGGAAUAACGGAGUAGGACUUUGGUUCUAUUUUGUUGGUUUUAGGAGCCAGAGUAAUGGUUAAUAGGAACAGUUGGGGGCAUUCGUAUUUAAA
rnacentral:rRNA from 1 species